rnacentral:rRNA from 1 species
GACGAACGCUGGCGGCGUGCCUAAUACAUGCAAGUAGAACGCUGAAGGAGGAGCUUGCUUCUUUGGAUGAGUUGCGAACGGGUGAGUAACGCGUAGGUAACCUGCCUGGUAGCGGGGGAUAACUAUUGGAAACGAUAGCUAAUACCACAUAAUAGUAGAUGUUGCAUGACAUUUGCUUAAAAGGUGCAAUUGCAUCUCUACCAGAUGGACCUGCGUUGUAUUAGCUAGUUGGUGAGGUAACGGCUCACCAAGGCGACGAUACAUAGCCGACCUGAGAGGGUGAUCGGCCACACUGGGACUGAGACACGGCCCAGACUCCUACGGGAGGCAGCAGUAGGGAAUCUUCGGCAACGGACGGAAGUCUGACCGAGCAACGCCGCGUGAGUGAAGAAGGUUUUCGGAUCGUAAAGCUCUGUUGUAAGAGAAGAACGAGUGUGAGAGUGGA